UCUUGAUGCAGUUUCGGAUGCAGACUAUUUGCUGAUACAAGGUACUAUUGCUGCUUUUGCCGCAAAUAGAGUAGGAAGUCGAAGUUACUCAUGAUGCCAGCAGGUAAUUAUUCUGCUAAGCACAGUUGGAGAAUGUCUACACAUUAAAGGUUCAGUGAUGAGGCUGCUGCUAUUUCGCGACCUGUCAAAUUUCCCCAUCUGAUCUGAAACCUUUUGUAAUCUGCAAGUCUCGUAUUUCCUUUCGAAUUAGUUAGUAUAGCUGGAUUAUAGGAAAGCAAUCAUGCGCAGUAUACACGUAGAAAUUGGUUUAGCAGGA
rnacentral:misc_RNA from 1 species